UACGAACUGUGCAAACGUUAUUCGGAAUCACUGGGCUUACAGGGUGCGUAGGCGGUCUGUUAAGUAGGGUGUGAAAGCCCCCGGCUCAACCGGGGAAUUGCGCCCUAAACUGGCGGACUGGAGUGAGAUAGGGGUGUGCGGAACUUCCGGUGGAGCGGUGAAAUGUGUUGAUAUCGGAAGGAACGCCGGUGGCGAAAGCGGCACACCUGGAUCUCAACUGGACGCUGAGGCACGAAAGCCCAGGGGAGCGGAACGGG
rnacentral:rRNA from 1 species